GAAACAGAUCGACUGCACACAUUCAAAAGGUGGCCUGUGUUUUGAUUCUGUAUCAAUUAUCCCCAGUAAUCUCAGGAGGAGGAGAAAAACAGGAAGUUUUACCAAAUACUUAUAGAAAGUAUUAAAUUAGGUUCUAUAACACAGCUUAAACCACCUGAAAGUACCACGGAGGAUAUCACUGUAUUUUUUUCGCCUUAGGUAUGUCUGUACUAUAUCCCUCCUAUCCAUGUAAAUUUCAAUACUUUGUAUUUGAUCCAGUUUUGCUGCAUAGUACAUCUUCUGUGGAAGAUCAGGAUAAUAGUUUUCAAGAGUCACUCCG
rnacentral:misc_RNA from 1 species